UACGGGGGGAGCAAGCGUUGUUCGGAUUUACUGGGCGUAAAGGGCGCGUAGGCGGCCACCGCAAGUCGACUGUGAAAUCUCCGGGCUUAACCCGGAAAGGUCAGCCGAUACUGCGGGGCUAGAGUGCAGAAGGGCAACUGGAAUUCUCGGUGUAGCGGUGAAAUGCGUAGAUAUCGAGAGGAACACCUGCGGCGAAGGCGGGUUGCUGGGCUGACACUGACGCUGAGGCGCGAAAGCUAGGGGAGCGAACGGG
rnacentral:rRNA from 1 species